GUAGAAUUCAGCAUGUGUUGCUGCCAUUCUUGCAAGAAAUGGUUUCGGUGCCUGACUCCAGGAGAGGCUUCCUGACUGAGGAUCCCAGGUGGACGCCUUUGGACUCAGAUUUAUUGUGCAACAGAAUGAUGAUUUCCUGAAGUCCUCAAAAUCUCUGUUUAAUGUCUUGUUGACUGAUGUGAUAAAGAAGAUCACAGGUCUCCAGAAAGUUUUCCCCUCUUCUCCCAUGCCAAAGAAGACUGCAUUCAUCUCUCCAGCGUCCAAACCUGGGUCAACCUGAGGGAGUUGCUUACAUGUGUUGUAAAAAGUGUCCUCUCCCAGAGGCUGAACUCAAAUCUCC